rnacentral:rRNA from 1 species
GUAGAGGAUGCUUUUGGCGAGGUGCCUUCCGAGUUCCCUGGAACGGGACGCCAUAGAGGGUGAGAGCCCCGUACGGUAGGACCACCGAGCCUCUGUAAAGCUCCUUCGACGAGUCGAGUAGUUUGGGAAUGCUGCUCUAAAUGGGAGGUGUACGUCUUCUAAAGCUAAAUACCGGCCAGAGACCGAUAGCGCACAAGUAGAGUGAUCGAAAGAUGAAAAGCACUUUGAAAAGAGGGUUAAAAAGUACGUGAAAUUGUUGAAAGGGAAGCAUUCAUGACCAGACUUGGGCUUGGUUGAACAUCCGGCGUUCUCGCCGGUGCACUCUGCCAGUUCAGGCCAGCAUCAGUUUGCUCCGGGGGACAAAGGCGGUGGGAAUGUGGCUCCCCUCGGGGAGUGUUAUAGCCCGCCGUGUAAUGCCCUGGAGCGGACUGAGGAACGCGCUUCGGCACGGAUGCUGGCGUAAUGGUCAUCAAUGACCCGUCUUGAAACACGGACCAAGGAGUCGUCUUCGUAUGCGAGUGUUCGGGUGUCAAACCCCUACGCGUAAUGAAAGUGAACGUAGGUGAGAGCUUCGGCGCAUCACCGACCGAUCCUGAUGUUCUCGGAUGGAUUUGAGUAAGAGCAUACGGGGCCGGACCCGAAAGAAGGUGAACUAUGCCUGUAUAGGGUG